UUACCAACCGGGACUAAAGGUGGAGCUCCACGUGGCCGCGGCCUUUAGUCCCGGUUCGUGUAAGAAUCGGGACUAAAGGGGAGAGGCAUUAGUAACGACCCUUUAGUCCCGGUUCAAAAACCGGGACUAAAAGGCCUUACCAACCUGGACAAAAGCCCCUUUUUUUUACUAGUGUUACAAUGUAUAUUUGUGGGAGAAAGGAUUUGGCAUUAGAUAUGGAAAGAGCAGGCUAAAUGUGAACCGGACGAAGUGCAUGCAAGAGAUAGUCUGUGGAUGUGCGGUACGACAAAAAUUAGAGCGUUUUAAAAAUGAUUAGUAGUUAGCUAUGAGAAUUUUUUUCAUGAACUUAACUGAAUAUGCCUUAUUGUGUAUGUGGUCAGGGGAAGCCAAUAGUUGAAAAUACUCGUUUUUGCCGCUGUGAAUGCGCUGCCCUCAUAAGAUUUUUGCUACCGGCAAGGACCGUGUCAAGUGCAGACGCUCAGAUCUAUGCGGUGGAAGCCGCUCCAGAGGCCGCGAGUGGAGACAGGGGCAAAGCAUCCGAGCACUCCAUAGAGCAGAUUGACCCGAAGGCUCCUCGGGUGGACGCGAAGGCCUGGCAUGUGUUGGGUCAUCACCACCACAGGGUUUUAGGAGCACAUCAGAACUAGUUCAGUCUGGUGAAGCAAGAGGCAAUGCAGCUAGGGCGGAUGACAUGCUGCCACUGAACACAUCCACAACAGCAGCUGUUAGGAGGCAUCAGAAUUAGAUAUGCGUCAAAAGAGAUAUGCAAAUAGGGGCAGCAGGAAGUGUCGCCAGAGAAUACGGCGUACACCAUCAAGCAGGCACUCAUCAUCCUCAGGGAGCUCGGCUGAAGAUGGAGAUAAUGUUGACAGCCGCAAACAAACUACGAGAUUUCGACGACAGAAUGCUUCAUCCCAUGUUGUUGCGGUUGGUUCGGCAAACCAACCACCAAGCGUGCUAAGGGGGGCAACGAUGCCAGUGGGCAUGACCGUGCGUGGAAGCAGCAAUGAAUUGUCUUCCCAGGGAUUACAAUUGCAGCUAGAGGAGAGAGCUCGGCUGCAGCAAUGCGUACUUCAGCAGGAGAGACGAUGCAUACAUGGUUGGGAACGAAUUGGAGUGGCGGUACCAGCUCAAAUUGAUUGGAAGGCCAAUCUAUGGGGGAUCCACAAGUCUACGAACAGGAGGAGCAGUGUUGGGGGAGAUUGGUAGCUCCCAUGGGCGGAUGUCAUAAAGGAGCUCACUAGCGGCGUUAGUCCAGAAUCCACGAUGAGACGACUCGUAUCGUCUAUCUCCAUCUGAUCCGUGCUAAGGAUAGCUGACGGGGUAAAAGAGAUAGCAUCUAGGUAGUGGGCCAUGGGCCAUAAUAAAAAAUGGAAUACAUAAGUUAUAACUGUACCUAUACCUCCUAUGGCGCUCA